UCCCUGGUAGUCUAUUGGUUAGGACUCAGCACUUUCACCACUGCAACCUGGGUUCAGACCCUGGUCUGGGAA
rfam:Sus scrofa chromosome 2.